GAGGUAAGGUGAAUGCCAUAUGCACAAGGGGAUAAUUGUUUUAUCAUAAUUGCUUUUAUAUUGUUUCUAUAUUAGUUUAUAUAAAGUGAAUGCUGUUGCUGAUCAUGCUGACAAUGUAUAAGGUGACUGUGGGUCUUGUGGCCCUGCUACUGGUCAGCACAGUGAGAGCUGAGGUAGGGUUAUUGCUGUUAAUCAAAAUUAUUAAAGAAAAAUAUAAACCAAUUUAAUUGUUUUUUAAGAAACUGGUGUAAAUAACCAAUUCAAAUAAAAAAUCUAUAUGAAUUGUAAUUAAAACUGUAACGAAAUGAAAUAUGUACGUGUUCGUUGUGAAUAAGUAUUAUGUAUUAUGUAUCACUAUUAAUGUGUAACUGUUUUUUCAUUUGGUUCUUUCCUCAUUGCAAAUAAACUACUGAUAUGAUGA